rnacentral:rRNA from 1 species
AACAAACGCUGGCGGCGUGCCUAAUACAUGCAAGUCGAACGGGGAAAGCUUUCGGGUGAGUACUAGUGGCGCACGGGUGAGUAACGCGUGGAUAAUCUGCCUUAGAGUGGGGGAUAACUAGUCGAAAGAUUAGCUAAUACCGCAUAAGACCACAAGAACUGCGGUUCAAGGGGUCAAAGGUUUUUCGCUCUAAGAUGAGUCCGCGCAAGAUUAGCUAGUUGGUAGGGUAACGGCCUACCAAGGCGACGAUCUUCAACUGGUCUGAGAGGAUGAUCAGUCACACUGGAACUGAGACACGGUCCAGACUCCUACGGGAGGCAGCAGUAGGGAAUAUUGCACAAUGGAGGAAACUCUGAUGCAGCGACGCCGCGUGAGUGAUGAAGGCCUUCGGGUCGUAAAGCUCUGUCGCAGGGGAAUAACACAAUGAAGGUACCCUGUAAGAAAGGAUCGGCUAACUUCGUGCCAGCAGCCGCGGUAACAC